UCCAGACUCCUACGGGAGGCAGCAGUGGGGAAUAUUGGGCGAUGGGCGCAAGCCUGACCCAGCAACGCCGCGUGAAGGAAGAAGGCUUUCGGGUUGUAAACUUCUUUUACCAGGGACGAAGAAAGUGACGGUACCUGGAGAAUAAGCCACGGCUAACUACGUGCCAGCAGCCGCGGUAAUACGUAGGUGGCGAGCGUUGUCCGGAUUUACUGGGUGUAAAGGGCGCGUAGGCGGGAAUGCAAGUCAGAUGUGAAAUCCAUGGGCUUAACCCAUGAACUGCAUUUGAAACUGUAUUUCUUGAGUGUCGGAGAGGUAGACGGAAUUCCUAGUGUAGCGGUGAAAUGCGUAGAUAUUAGGAGGAACACCAGUGGCGAAGGCGGUCUGCUGGACAGCAACUGACGCUGAGGCGCGAAAGCGUGGGGAGCAAACAGGAUUAGAUACCCUAGUA
rnacentral:rRNA from 1 species